GUAGGGAAUAUUGGACAAUGGGCGAAAGCCUGAUCCAGCCAUGCCGCGUGAUAGAUGAAGGCCCUCUGGGUUGUAAAUAUCUUUUAUCUGGGAAGAAACUCCUCUAUUCUUAGAGGCCUGAUGGUACCAGAGGAAUAAGCACCGGCUAACUCCGUGCCAGCAGCCGCGGUAAUACGGAGGGUGCAAGCGUUAUCCGGAUUCACUGGGUUUAAAGGGUGCGUAGGCGGGUUGAUAAGUCAGUGGUGAAAGCUCCGGGCUUAACUUGGAAACUGCCAUUGAUACUGUCAAUCUUGAAUGUCGUAGAGGUAAGCGGAAUGUUGCAUGUAGCGGUGAAAUGCUUAGAUAUGUUACAGAACACCAAUUGCGAAGGCAGCUUACUAUGCGAUAAUUGACGCUGAGGCACGAAAGCGUGGGGAGCAAACAGGAUUAGAUACCCUUGUAGUCC
rnacentral:rRNA from 1 species